GUAGGGCGGGACACGUGAUAUCCUGUCUGAAGAUGGGGGGACCAUCCUCCAAGGCUAAAUACUCCUGACUGACCGAUAGUGAACCAGUACCGUGAGGGAAAGGCGAAAAGAACCCCGGCGAGGGGAGUGAAACAGAACCUGAAACCGUGUACGUACAAGCAGUGGGAGCCUUCGUAAGAGGGUGACUGCGUACCUUUUGUAUAAUGGGUCAGCGACUUAUAUUCUGUAGCAAGGUUAACCGUAUAGGGGAGCCGAAGGGAAACCGAGUCUUAACCGGGCGUUAAGUUGCAGGGUAUAGACCCGAAACCCGGUGAUCUAGCCAUGGGCAGGUUGAAGGUUGGGUAACACUAACUGGAGGACCGAACCGACUAAUGUUGAAAAAUUAGCGGAUGACCUGUGGCUGGGGGUGAAAGGCCAAUCAAACCGGGAGAUAGCUGGUUCUCCCCGAAAGCUAUUUAGGUAGCGCCUCGUGAACUCAUCUCCGGGGGUAGAGCACUGUUUCGGCUAGGGGGCCAUCCCGGCUUACCAACCCGAUGCAAACUGCGAAUACCGGAGAAUGUUAUCACGGGAGACACACGGCGGGUGCUAACGUCCGUCGUGAAGAGGGAAACAACCCAGACCGCCAGCUAAGGUCCCAAAGUCAUGGUUAAGUGGGAAACGAUGUGGGAAGGCCCAGACAGCCAGGAUGUUGGCUUAGAAGCAGCCAUCAUUUAAAGAAAGCGUAAUAGCUCACUGGUCGAGUCGGCCUGCGCGGAAGAUGUAACGGGGCUAAACCAUGCACCGAAGCUGCGGCAGCGACGCUUAUGCGUUGUUGGGUAGGGGAGCGUUCUGUAAGCCUGCGAAGGUGUGCUGUGAGGCAUGCUGGAGGUAUCAGAAGUGCGAAUGCUGACAUAAGUAACGAUAAAGCGGGUGAAAAGCCCGCUCGCCGGAAGACCAAGGGUUCCUGUCCAACGUUAAUCGGGGCAGGGUGAGUCGACCCCUAAGGCGAGGCCGAAAGGCGUAGUCGAUGGGAAACAGGUUAAUAUUCCUGUACUUGGUGUUACUGCGAAGGGGGGACGGAGAAGGCUAUGUCGGCCGGGCGACGGUUGUCCCGGUUUAAGCGUGUAGGCUGACUUUCCAGGCAAAUCCGGAAGGUUAAGGCUGAGGCGUGAUGACGAGGCACUACGGUGCUGAAGUGACAAAUGCCCUGCUUCCAGGAAAAGCCUCUAAGCAUCAGGUAACAUCAAAUCGUACCCCAAACCGACACAGGUGGUCAGGUAGAGAAUACCAAGGCGCUUGAGAGAACUCGGGUGAAGGAACUAGGCAAAAUGGUGCCGUAACUUCGGGAGAAGGCACGCUGACAUGUAGGUGAAGCCCCUGCGGGUGGAGCUGAAGUCAGUCGAAGAUACCAGCUGGCUGCAACUGUUUAUUAAAAACACAGCACUGUGCAAACACGAAAGUGGACGUAUACGGUGUGACGCCUGCCCGGUGCCGGAAGGUUAAUUGAUGGGGUUAUCGCAAGAGAAGCUCCUGAUCGAAGCCCCGGUAAACGGCGGCCGUAACUAUAACGGUCCUAAGGUAGCGAAAUUCCUUGUCGGGUAAGUUCCGACCUGCACGAAUGGCGUAAUGAUGGCCAGGCUGUCUCCACCCGAGACUCAGUGAAAUUGAACUCGCUGUGAAGAUGCAGUGUACCCGCGGCAAGACGGAAAGACCCCGUGAACCUUUACUACAGCUUGACACUGAACAUUGAGCCUUGAUGUGUAGGAUAGGUGGGAGGCUUUGAAGCGUGGACGCCAGUCUGCGUGGAGCCGACCUUGAAAUACCACCCUUUAAUGUUUGAUGUUCUAACCUGGCGCCAUAAUCUGGCGUGGGGACAGUGUCUGGUGGGUAGUUUGACUGGGGCGGUCUCCUCCCAAAGUGUAACGGAGGAGCACGAAGGUCAGCUAAUCCUGGUCGGACAUCAGGAGGUUAGUGCAAUGGCAUAAGCUGGCUUGACUGCGAGAGUGACGGCUCGAGCAGGUGCGAAAGCAGGUCAUAGUGAUCCGGUGGUUCUGUAUGGAAGGGCCAUCGCUCAACGGAUAAAAGGUACUCCGGGGAUAACAGGCUGAUACCGCCCAAGAGUUCAUAUCGACGGCGGUGUUUGGCACCUCGAUGUCGGCUCAUCACAUCCUGGGGCUGAAGUAGGUCCCAAGGGUAUGGCUGUUCGCCAUUUAAAGUGGUACGCGAGCUGGGUUUAGAACGUCGUGAGACAGUUCGGUCCCUAUCUGCCGUGGGCGCUGGAGAAUUGAGGGGGGCUGCUCCCAGUACGAGAGGACCGGAGUGGACGCAUCACUGGUGUUCGGGUUGUCAUGCCAAUGGCACUGCCCGGUAGCUAAAUGCGGAAGAGAUAAGUGCUGAAAGCAUCUAAGCACGAAACUUGCCCCGAGAUGAGUUCUCCCUGACUCCUUGAGAGUCCUGAAGGAACGUUGAAGACGACGACGUUGAUAGGCCGGGUGUGUAAGCGCAGCGAUGCGUUGAGCUAACCGGUACUAAUGAACCGUGAGGCUUAACCUUA
rnacentral:rRNA from 1 species